ACGCUGGCGGCGUGCCUAAUACAUGCAAGUAGAACGCUGAAGGAGGAGCUUGCUUCUCCGGAUGAGUUGCGAACGGGUGAGUAACGCGUAGGUAACCUGCCUGGUAGCGGGGGAUAACUAUUGGAAACGAUAGCUAAUACCGCAUAAGAGUAGAUGUUGCAUGACAUUUGCUUAAAAGGUGCAAUUGCAUCACUAUCAGAUGGACCUGCGUUGUAUUAGCUAGUUGGUGGGGUAACGGCUCACCAAGGCGACGAUACAUAGCCGACCUGAGAGGGUGAUCGGCCACACUGGGACUGGGACACGGCCCAGACUCCUACGGGAGGCAGCAGUAGGGAAUCCUCGGCAAUGGACGGAAGUCUGACCGAGCAACGCCGCGUGAGUGAAGAAGGUUUUCGGAUCGUAAAGCUCUGUUGUAAGAGAAGAACGAGUGUGAGAGUGGAAAGUUCACACUGUGACGGUAUCUUACCAGAAAGGGACGGCUAACUACGUGCCAGCAGCCGCGGUAAUACGUAGGUCCCGAGCGUUGUCCGCAUUUAUUGGGCGUAAAGCGAGCGCAGGCGGUUAGAUAAGUCUGAAGUUAAAGGCUAUGGCUUAACCAUAGUACGCUUUGGAAACUGUUUAACUUGAGUGCAAGAGGGGAGAGUGGAAUUCCAUGUGUAGCGGUGAAAUGCGUAGAUAUAUGGAGGAACACCGGUGGCGAAAGCGGCUCUCUGGCUUGUAACUGACGCUGAGGCUCGAAAGCGUGGGGAGCAAACAGGAUUAGAUACCCUGGUAGUCCACGCCGUAAACGAUGAGUGCUAGGUGUUAGACCCUUUCCGGGGUUUAGUGCCGCAGCUAACGCAUUAAGCACUCCGCCUGGGGAGUACGACCGCAAGGUUGAAACUCAAAGGAAUUGACGGGGGCCCGCACAAGCGGUGGAGCAUG
rnacentral:rRNA from 1 species